UCUAAUCGGCCGCUGCUGCCGCUUUCUGCGCACGUGCACGUCUUCUCAUAUGCUUUGCAGUUUAAAAAUUUCUUUCUUCGCCUGCGAAUGUUCUGGCAACGUCGGAAAAACUGAGAAAGGAAUCCAAGGUUUGCUGCGCGGCUGUGGGAUGUGGCAACGCGGGGAGCAACACCAGGGCGAAAUUUUUUCGUUUCCCCAGCGGGCGAGAGAUGGUACUUAUGGCGAAACGGCGCUAAAUGGAGAGUCCUGGCGGGGCUGACAUGGGAGCAGAUCUAUAACGGCUACGGCCUCUGAUCGGAUCACUUCAGAGGAGGGGAAUACGCCGACCCUGUCGCGGUCGGCUGUGCCGACUGUUGGAGUGGAAGAGCGGUCCCUGAUCCAUGAAGGCUUAGUGCACACACACGCACGUAUGAAGUGACACGUGACAUCUGACAUUGAUUGACUUGGUUCCGACGUAUCGUUGAUUGUCCAGCUUGGCGCAUGGCGUCCUGUACCGUUAAAAGCCGAAGCCACGUCUGCACCCUCGUUAGUGCGGUUGGUAACUGUCUCUGACAUCAACGCACGUGAACUUCUGGAUCAAGAUCAGCGGGCCACGAUCGUUCUUCCUUUCCACUACCGCACAAACGAAUCACUGCCGACAGCACCGCCACAGGACCUCAUAAACGACUGGCAUCGCCUGUAUGGCCGCCUUUAGUGGACGCGAGGGAGCGGCACCAUGUGCUCGCCGCUCAGGAAUCAUCU